rnacentral:rRNA from 1 species
GACGAACGCUGGCGGCGUGCUUAACACAUGCAAGUCGAACGAUGAAGCCUAGCUUGCUAGGUGGAUUAGUGGCGAACGGGUGAGUAAUACGUGAGUAACCUACCUUUAACUCUGGGAUAAGCCUGGGAAACUGGGUCUAAUACCGGAUACGACCAAUCUCCGCAUGGGGUGUUGGUGGAAAGCGUUAUGUAGUGGUUAUAGAUGGGCUCACGGCCUAUCAGCUUGUUGGUGAGGUAACGGCUCACCAAGGCGACGACGGGUAGCCGGCCUGAGAGGGUGACCGGCCACACGGGGACUGAGACACGGCCCAGACUCCUACGGGAGGCAGCAGUGGGGAAUAUUGCACAAUGGGCGCAAGCCUGAUGCAGCGACGCCGCGUGAGGGAGGACGGCCUUCGGGCUGUAAACCUCUGUUAGCAGGGAAGAAGAGAAAUUGACGGUACCUGCAGAGAAAGCGCCGGCUAACUACGU